ACAAACCAGGGACCAGGAUCUGAAUGUG
rnacentral:sRNA from 1 species